GGCUGAUCUCCCCCAAGAGUUCACAUCGACGGGGUGGUUUGGCACCUCGAUGUCGGCUCGUCGCAUCCUGGGGCUGGAGUAGAUCGCAUCCUGGGGCGGUAGUACGUCCCAAGGGUUGGGCUGUUCGCCCAUGAAAGCGGUACGCGAGCUGGGUUCAGAACGUCGUGAGACAGUUCGGUCCAUAUCCGGUGUAGGCGUUAGAAUAUUGAGAGGAGCCUUCUUUAGUACGAGAGGACCGAGAAGGACAUACCUCUGGUGUACCAGUUAUCGUGCCAACGGUAAACGCUGGGUAGCUAUGUAUGGAGUGGAUAACCGCUGAAAGCAUCUAAGCGGGAAGCCUCCUUCGAGACGAGAUCUCCCUUAGGACUUGAUCCUACUAAAGUGCCGUUCAAGACUAGGACGUUGAUAGGCUGGGUGUGUAAGUGCAGCGAUGCAUUGAGCUAACCAGUACUAAUUGCACGUGAGGCUUGA
rnacentral:rRNA from 1 species